GACGAACGCUGGCGGCGUGCUUAACACAUGCAAGUCGAGCGAACGGACGAGAAGCUUGCUUCUCUGACGUUAGCGGCGGACGGGUGAGUAACACGUGGAUCAUCUACCUAUAAGACUGGGAUAACUUCGGGAAACCGGCGCUAAUACCGGAUAAUAUUUUGAACCGCAUGGUUCAAAAGUCAGAGACGGUCUUGCUGUCACUACUAGAUGGAUCCGCGCUGCAUUAGCUAGUAGGUAAGGUAACGGCUUACCAAGGCAACGAUGCGUAGCCGACCUGUGAGAGUGAUCGGCGACACGGGAAGUGGGACACGCACCAGACGCCUACGGGAGGCAGCAGUGGGGAAUCGUACGCAAUAGGCGAAAGCCUGACGCAGCAACGCCACGUGAGUGAUGAAAGUCUUCGGAUCGUAAAACACUGUUAUUAGGGAUAAACAUGUUUGGAAGUAAAUGUACCCAUAUUGACGGUACCUAAUCAGAAAGCCACGGCUAACUACGUG
rnacentral:rRNA from 1 species